UUUGUUUAUAUUAAGGAAUUUCAAAAGUGUUGCUUAGAAGUUUUUACGUUGAUUUUCAUGGACACUGCAAAGAUAAAAGAGGGGGAAAAUAAUGCAAUUAGUAUUUGAAUUUUAUAUUCGAGACAAAUUAAAGGAAACAACUAGAAAUAUAUAAAAAUAUAGGAAACUAAAUAAUAGUUUGUUAUACACCACUUCAACUGAGACGAGAUAAAAUAAAAUAUGUAAUUAAAAGCUAAAGAGUGUCAGUUGGUCUUGCCGCCAGAUGUAUACCCUCAGCAAAUGUUCGAUUAUUUAAAUAUAUUUUGACUUCUGCUAUGAUUAUUCAAAUUCCUCUAUGGAGUAGGUUCCGCAGGAAUGGGUCAGUAUUGUCCAUUUCGUAUCGAAACUUAUAAAUAUGAUAUAAAUAUUGCGACGUGUCAGGUUUGGACUGCAUUGGUUACUUCCUUCACUUUAUAUGAAAUAUGCGAUUAGUUUUAGAAAAUAUUAAAAUGUGGGUGAGGUAUCAGAUAUAGAUGGACAGAAGCAUUCCACUUCAUCACAUUCUGAUCUAAAUGUU